rnacentral:rRNA from 1 species
UACGUAGGGUGCGAGCGUUGUCCGGAAUUAUUGGGCGUAAAGAGCUCGUAGGCGGUCUGUCGCGUCGAUCGUGAAAACUUGGGGCUUAACCCUGAGCUUGCGGUCGAUACGGGCAUGACUGGAGUUCGGCAGGGGAGACUGGAAUUCCUGGUGUAGCGGUGAAAUGCGCAGAUAUCGGGAGGAACACCAGUGGCGAAGGCGGCACUCUGGGCCGGAACUGACGCUGAGGAGCGAAAGCGUGGGGAGCGAACAGG